rnacentral:rRNA from 1 species
CUAAGUGGAAAAGGAUGUGAAAAUACAAAGACAGCCAGGAGGUUGGCUUAGAAGCAGCCAUCCUUUAAAGAAAGCGUAAUAGCUCACUGGUCGAGCGUCUUUGCGCCGAAGAUUUAACGGGGCUCAAGCAUGAUACCGAAGCUGAGGACUUGUGCAAGCUUGCUUGCACAAUUGGUAGGAGAGCAUUCCUGGUCGUAGAUUCGGAUCGCGAGGUCUGAUGUUUACCAGGAAGAGACUCUGCCGGCAUAAGUAGUGAUAAUUCAGGUGAGAACCCUGAACGCCGAAAGUCUAAGGUUUCCUGAGCAAGGUCAGUCCGCUCAGGGUUAGUCGGAUCCUAAGCUGAGGCCGAAAGGCGUAAGCGAUGGAAAGCAGGUCAACAUUCCUGCACCACCUUUGCAGCGUUAUUACGACGCGGGGACGCAGUAGGCUAUGCAGACCGUACCGUUGGUCGAGUACGGCCGGUGACAAGGAGGAGCCUUUUAAUCGGGGCUCAUUAACUCUUAGGUAGCCGGGGAAGCUUGAUUUUUAUCGGGUGAACCUGCAGAUGUCAUGCUGCCAAGAAAAGCCGCUAAGGAGUUGUAUAGGUGUCCGUACCGCAAACCAACACAGGUAGACGGGAUGAGUAUUCUAAGGCGCACGUGUGAAAUCUUCUCAAGGAACUCGGCAAAUUAACCCCGUACCUUCGGAAGAAGGGGUGCCUCAUUAGGGUGAUAUUUCGAUUGAGCCCGAAGAGGUCGCAGAGAAUAGGCCCAGGCGACUGUUUAACAAAAACACAGGACUCUGCUAAGUCAAAAAAACGACGUAUAGGGUCUGACGCCUGCCCGGUGCCGGAAGGUUAAAAGGAGGGGUUAUCCUUCGG